rnacentral:lncRNA from 1 species
GAUCUCCUCCUCUGUUGUUAUUCUCUGCUUUUGAUGGAUAAUGCUCCUCCGCCGCCGCCCGAUGUGCUUUGGCGUCGGAAUGCGGCGACUUUCUUUCGUUUUUCCUCCCUGAUUUAAUUAAUGUAAUUACUAAGCAGAUUCAUAUGUAUUUUACUUCUGUUUGAUGAAGGUGAAAAUAUUUGAUAUUUUUCGCAAGUAUUUUUGGAAUAACACUAGUUCAAGCAGUAAAUUAUGGACACGCAAAGUUGAGACACCUUCGCUAUCCACAAAUUUGACUCCUUAUGUUUAAAACGAGUUUGAGUUAGAAUAUUUUAGCGUAUGUGAGUUCAAAUCUUAAGUUUAUUUGCUCGAACCGGACUCAUUAAUUAUCAUUAAUAAGAUAAAUUUGAGUUCAAUUCAAAUUUCAUUCAUUUAAAAUUUCUUUUAUAAAUCCAAUUUGAAUUUUUACAUUAAAAAACAUCAUCAAAUCAAACUCGAAAAUCAAACUAUCCUAAAAUUUAUAGGUCGUUUGAAUGGAGUAUUUGAAAGUGGUAUUUUGGCCCAAAUAUUAUAUUAUGUGGUACUUGGGUCAAAAUACCACAUUUGGCCUCUGAAAUAGAAUUAGUGGUAUUUGACAUGAGUAUUUGAAAUAGUGAUUUUUGGUGGUAUUUGAAAUACUUGGGUUGAGAAAGGCAUUUGAAUUAGUAGGUUUGUAUAACACUCCAUNNNNNNNNNNNNCUCCAUUAUUUUUUAAACCCCGAACUACUCUUGAUUUGUUGUUCUUUUCUCACAACUAAACUUGGGAAUGAGAUGGGUUUUGGACGGGGUGCCUAUACCCAUCUCCAUACCUAUUAAAAUUUAUCUCUAUCCCCAUCCUCAUUCGANNNGAGUUAAUGUAUGUCAGUUGUUAUGAUUUAAGUUUGAGUGAACUUGUGAGCAAUGCAUGGAUCGAACCAUGUGGUUCGAUCAUCCCCUCAUAACUUAUUAAUUAAAAAAAUAAAAAAAAGACUAUCAGAUAAUCCAAUUUCGAACGCUUUUAAGACAUAAAACAUCAUUUUAAAGUAAAACACAUAACAAAAUAAUCUCACAAACAUUGUCAUUAUCUUCACUAGUGAUGGAGCUUUAUGAGAGUAAUAUAAUAAUAGAUCUUUCUAUUCACCAAAUACCACAUAUGAAUUAACACAUUGUUUUGAAUUCGCCAAACAUGAUAAUUUUCAUACAACAAGUUUUGUGUACCACACAAAUACAACAUUCUCAAAUAACCCACUAUUUUAUUCCAAAAUACCACGUACCCAAAAUACCUCAUCCAAACGACCCAUUAAAAAUUUCUACUUUUUUUAAACAAUGUAUCACUUACGUUUCAUCAACACAAUCACAAGUAAUAUAUUAUUUCAUAUGUACGGUAUUCAAGACAAAACACAUGCUACACUUACAUUAUUGAGUCUACUACACAAACUCAAGCUAAUAAUCGAGUUGGCACUUGAGCUCAAAUCUGCUCACGAGCAUACCCUAACUCGAAUUUAACUCGUUAAAAUCUAGACGAAUUUCAAACGAGCUUUUUUAAAUCUAUAACCUCGCUAAUUAAUAAUAAACGGCUUGGCUUAUCAACAAUCGUGAACCCAAAUCAUAAAAUUAAAAUCAUUGUCGACUUUCUAGUGGCACAAAAUAGGAAUUGACCCUCCAAAAUUAAUAUAAAGCACAAACAUACAUGCGCAUGAACAUAGGAUUCGACUCGAAGAAUCAAGGGAUAAAAAAUCACUAACCGGCAUGCUCAAAUAGCUGCAUGAAUCCGAAUAAUAAAGGAUACAUAAAUACUUUUGUACAGUACAUCGGCUUGAAUUGCAAACGGAUGCCAUCUCACGACAGAACUGAACAGAGAGAUUUGUAAGCACUAACACACAGUUUAAACUUCUCUGCAGCCAUAGCCUGGGAAUCCCCUUUGUGCCUGUCCGGAUGCCAUUUCAAUGCCGAAAUUCGAAACCUGUUAAAAAAAACAAUCCAAAGCGCUCGUUAGUAUCAACUAGAGAAGGAAGUAGGUAGGGAAUGGCGAAGCAUCUUACGCAGUUUUCACUUCUUCAAUCUGCAGAGGUCCAGAAAGUGGCAACCUGAGGGUUCUUCUGUCCGAACAUGAUCCAACGAUGACAGGUGGCUCUUCUUCGUCAGAUUCAGGUUCACCUCGAUGGUCAAAUUCUACCCUAGGGUUUCUCCAUGUCCAAUGUGGAGACUCUGUCCUUUUGGACCGUCCGGAGCCAGACCCGCCGAAGGACCAAGUAUACCACUUGUUUCCAAAUUUCGCUUGGAAUACGGAUUCUGGAUCAUCUGAAUCUUCGUCGCAACUGUCUCUUCGAAACUUGCCUGAGAGAUUUGAUGGAAAUGAAGAUGGAAAGAUCAUAUCAAACACAUGAUCACGAGACAUGGUUGAAGUAUAAAUGAAAAAUAACUAGUUAUGAUCAUUACUAACUAGUUAUCCAACUUAAAAACUAGUUAUAAUCCGGCAACUUUUCCAGGGGAAAUUUAUAACGAAAAAUAACUAGUUAUAAUCCGGCAAAUAUGAGUGAAUGUAUCGAUGUUUUCCAAAUAGCUUACGCUUUAUUUUGGCACAAUGACCUCUCCUGUUAGCAUUCUGACCAGGAGAUUUCCCAUGCCUUUUAUUGUCAGCAGUGGUUCGGUCUUCUGCACCAAAGUUCCAUAGUCGUUCAACCUAUGACAAAGCCAUCAAAUCUUGAAAGCAUGACCAUAUGAAAAGAGCGAAGCCGGUAUGCAUCAGUUUGCUAUACCAUGAUCUAUAAUCCCUAAUGCUGACCUAGAUCCCUACCAUCAACAGGGAACUUGAUCGUUCCGUGAGAUCACAAUUCAUGCCUAGUAGUACAUUUGUUGUAACAUCAAGUCAGUUAUAAAUAUGCAGUUUGCUCAUUGGAAGUAACAAGCUUGAACUUCCAUAUGAGUCGGAAUCAAACAUUAUCAUCAAGAACAGUCAAAUUUUCACAUGACAUUUAUUUCUCAACCAUGAUUAAUAGUUCACAAAAAAACCUUGACUUAGUUUCCAAGACAAAGUAGGAAGUAAGCAUCCCAUCAGACCAUGAGCUAAGUAAGUAUAUUAGUGUUUACCUGAGACAGUCCGGAGGAUUUACUAUUGAAGAGAAGGUGCUUCAAAGCCUUCUUGGUGUCGGCACGUUUUUGACGCACUGCAAAUCUCACAUGAUUCUGGAAUCAUUCUCACAUUGUCAGAGCAACUUUCUACUGCCUAUAAAGGAAUAGCCUUUCAAACGAAACUAUGCAAAUAGCAGAAGUUGAUAAGAAGCAAAAGUUGACCUUGGAUGGUUGCUGUGAUUUUGGUGUGUCCUGCAAAACCAGAAAGUAUCAAAUAUUCUGCCCAGUGAAAGGCAAAAUAAAACUAAUGGUCGUUCGGUAUAGGAAAAAUUCUACUCUGAAUACUCUGCUUGGUUUGAGAGUUGGAAAGUCAUAUGGAAUUUAGAUGAUAAUGGGAAAGUUCGCUCUUAAAAAACACUUCGUUGGGAUUUAACUUCCCCAUCCAAGCGGGGAAAUGUUGAAGAUUCCAUAAGACUUUCCACUUAUCAAACCAAAGCCUCUGUGUUCUUGGUUGUUUAGCUUUUAAUGAGAAAUUUUGACUUCCGCAAACAAUGUCACUAAUUCCAUCUACUAUUCUUUAUAUCGAGUAAGAUAUAACAUAAUUAUGAUCUAUGGACCUGAAAGCAAACUAGAAAAGCUACAACUAUGGCUUGGUUUGGCACGCUGACAAUUGGAUGAAAUUUUGAACAUUUUUCCGGACCGAUAGGCAAAUUAAAUCCCCACAAAGUGAUUUUCAUUUUCGAGAGCAAACUUUUCCAUUUUUCAUCUAAAUUCUAUCAGACUUCCCCACCAAACUAAGAUACAUAAGAACUAAGUGAAGGACUGAUCACAGCCAGGCUUUUCUUCAGAUGAUGUGUGCCAAAAGGAAUUCCAUAUCUAGAUAAAGCACGAUACUUAAGAGCAAGCAUAUAAACGUACAGAAGUCGGGAAAUUUGCAAAGACUCACAGAUUUCCCCUUGGUGUUCCAUCUAUCGCAGAAAACCGGGGUCGAAUGAAUCGAGGCGAUGAUGGUCUUCUUCGAUUGAGAAAGAGCUGGAAUCAAGUUGUUCUUCAGGAUUAACACGUUUCGCCAUCUGGGAACUUGCAUAAUCGACGAAAGAAGAACGCUUUACUCGUAAUUUAUGCUUUCCGGCAAUGAAGAACUACCCAAGCCGGCGAUUAUGGCGGAAGGGUACCGGCGAUGGAAAUAAGAGUAUGAAGAAGUAGGUUUGGGCCUGUACAAUUCAUUUUUGGGCCGGUUCAUUGGCCCAUUUGAGGCUGCAGAAGGGUGAAUCUACCUAUAAUCCUCCGACUUUACGAGAUUACGAUAAGGUUCUAUAACUUUAUUUCAUUUGCUAAUUUUCACCCGGCAACCAACCAAUAGAGCAAGAGACGUUAAAUUUGAAACCCAGUCAUCAUUCCGUCAAUACCUGCUCUUUUUAAUUACGUACAUGAUAUGCAGAUAAACCUAGUACAACACAAAGUCGAAUCUCGAGGACUUUUUUCGUUCAAUCACACACGGUAAACUAUGCUUUUGUUGCAGAUAUCUUGCGUGCAUUCAUUGCAGAUUCUUCAGACUAAACUUGCCACCAUUCAUUCCCGAGUUUGUAACACCAUAGUCAUCCAUGCAAUGUGCAAACUACAUGGAACUUGAUCUCGUACGGGCUUCACGUUCUUGACGUCUUUGUUCUCUCUGCAAAAAUAACUUCGGACUGUGAUUAAAUAUGCAGGACUUCUAUCAGCAAACAUAGCAUGAUCAUGAAACAUUCUCCAAAUCAUACUCGAGCUAAGAGGAUAGCAGAAACCAUACAAUUCCUGAAGGAUUCAUAAGCAAUUUCAAGACGACAUUAUGCAGCUAUCACAGGUUACGCUUAGCCGUUUAAUAGGCCAUAUUCUCCACAGUAACAGUAGUGUCUAAUACAUUGUAGAAGGUUACUUACCCGUCUUUCCCAAUAAGGAAGGAAACACACGAAAUCAUAGACAGGAGUAAUGGUUUGAACCAAGACUACAUUGAGUCCAGUGAACACCAACAAUGCGGUCAUAGGCCGAGUCCGGUGUGGCAUCUUUAACUCGCUCCUCUCUACACUCUCUUAUCUGCAAUGCAUCACAGAGACACACAAUAUAAGGUACCAGAAACAUCUACCGAUACGAUCCAUACGGCAAAGCAAAAGCCCUAAUAAUGUCAAGUGCACAAUCGUACCAAAUCCAUGCUGAAGCUUGGAACCAAAUCCAAACACUCUCAGCUAAGUUAAAGUUCCAUACUAUCACAUUGCCAUUCUAAAUAAUCCUCCUUUCUCAAACAGGCAUGCACAACUUCAUUCCAUAGAAGUCAGACCAAACAAUGAUGAUCAAUUAAUGUGUAAAGCAGAUUCACUCUGAAAGUAAAUCUCAAGUAAAAAAAUCCAGCAUGAAAUCAAAUGAUUUCUAGCUUACAUAUUGCACGAAGAUCAAAUUGAAAUUCAGGUAUUGAAAAAUGAGGGAUCAACUCGGCAACUCCAGUUCUACUUUAUCUUGAAUGCGUCAAUAGAAUCAGCAAAGUUUCCAUAGUAUCGAUCAAUCAAACCGAGUGAAGACGAAUUGAAUAAGAACAACACCGGCAUUCAUCUAUCACAAACAAAUUUUGAAAAUCCAUUCCACCAAAUCCAUUCGAUAGUCCUCGUCAAAAGGAAUACUUCCAGAAGCAGACAGAAAUAGAUAAAGAAGCUAAUUCUUAAGUACCUCUUAAAACAGAAUCAACGAGCAGGUGGAGUUAAGAGUUUGGACGUAACGAACGACGGCGGAAUCAACGUGCUGCCGUCGGCGGCUAUCUCCGAUUUCAGUGAUGAGAGAAACGGACUGAAGCAAAAAAACCCCAAGGGCCAAGACGGAUAGACGACGCACUUUCUCCAUUUAUGGGCUAAACAAUUAGGCCUACUAGUUGCUUCUUGAAAGCCCAUACUAAAGUACGGCCAACCUAGUUAUUGGGCCUCCGCAAAAGACCCGAACUAUUUGCUAAAACCCGCAUUAAACCCACAGAUGAUUACGCCGCCGUCCCGUUAUCCUCCUUCUUUAUUUCCCGCCGGCGAUUGAGGUUUAUUCUCCCAACACCUCGGCGCCGACAGCUGCUUCCUUCUCUCUCGCAAGCUACUGGAGUUUUAGAGUAAGUUCUCUCUCGCAGCUUCCGCUUCUCUGAUUUCAAAAGUUGGGAAAAUGGAGUAGAUUACUAGUUUGAGUUUGGGAGAUUUAAGACGUGUGGAAGAUAUUAUUGAAAUUUGAUUUAAGUCAGGUUGUUCUUCUGUGUGUACUGAUCUGAAGAAGGUUUCAUGGUUUGAUUAUCGGGAAGAAUGUUCUUCAUUUCUUUCCUUUGUUGCGUACUUGCGUCAACUCUGUAAAAUUUAGGUUAUGAGUUUACAGUGACUUCAUUUUCAGACGGGUCUGAAGGAGAUUCAAACUUUGCAUUGGAAUGAACUGCUUGUCUAGGUUGUCUGCAUACUCCGCAGCUAUCAUUGGAGGGAAGAGCCAUCUCAUUGUGAAGCAAUCCUGGAACCAGUGCUCUAAUCUUGUUUGGAAUCAGCACAAUUCUUUCAGAAGUCUAAACAAGGAGUUAAGCUUUCCCACAGUUGCUACCCGGUGUUACUCAACCCAGAAGGCUAAAUCAACAAAAGUUCUGCAAAAAGAAAACUCGGAUCAGAUAGAAACUGAUAUGGAUAGAGAUUCUUUCUUCUUGGUGCGAAAAGGGGAUGUCGUUGGUGUUUACAAGACUUUUAAUGAGUGCGAGUCGCAAGUCGGAUCCUCUGUAAGUCUUCUACUUCUCUUGUUGAUCCAACGUUGUUUGUCUGUGUUGCCUCUGGUUGAUAAUUUCUCAUAAGAAGAGGAAUUCGGGAUAUCUUUUGGAUUCCGACAUUUUUGUAGAUAUCUGACCCUCCGGCAAGCAUUUUCAAAGGGCAUGCUUUAACUGAUGAAACCAAAGAGUACCUUGCAUCUUGUGGGCUUCAGAAUGCUUUAUAUACUGUCAGAGCACAAGACUUGAAGGCGGACCUAUUCGGCACACUUGUGGCUUGUCCUUUGCCAGUGAGUAUAGUAAAAAAGAAGUGUUAGUUUCGUGAUCAUGUGAAUAGGUUAGUCUAUAGCUUUUAAAGAUGGAAAUACAUAAUCUGUAGACUUAUACUGUUUAGAUAAUUGCAGCAACCUAGUCUCUCCACUGAUCAACCAGAUGCAACAUCUGGUAAGAAGAGAACGAUAGAUACGAUGAUAUUACAAGCAGCAGUAAGUCUUAUUUCUCAUAUUUAUCAAUGUCAUAAACCUUGUUGCUGAAGAAUAUCGAUUGUAUAAUAGAGACAUGUUGUGAACUUCUUUCAUUCUUCUUCUGGUGGUGAAAAUAGUUAAUACCAGUCCUACCUUGUUCAUCUCUGAUGGUGAGAAUUAUUUUGCUUUUCAUAUUGUUGGCAGGCCAACUGUACCGAUUAAUAGUUGGGAAGCAUAUGUUGCUUAAGAGUCUUUUUAUCUUAAAACGAAUGGUCUUUUUGUGCUUUCUCACUAGAUACAUCGUUGAUGUUUGGCAGGAAGCAUGUGCAACUUCAUCCGGUCAAGCUGAUCCCUCAAAAAAUCUUGUGAGAUCGGAUUAUCAAGUUGCUACUCAUCAAUAUUCUUAUGAUCCAGUAAGUGUAUGCAGAAAAAAGUAUGAUGGUAUGCUUUCCUUAGGUGUUCCAUUUGACAGCAACGCUCUUCUGUCAAUUUCCUGGAUCCAUUUUUGUCUAUGCAUCCUUGGAAUUAAGUAAAGAUGCUGACAACUUUCCUUUUUCAAUCCUCAGGAAUUUUGUACUCUUGAGUUUGAUGGUGCUUCAAGAGGAAACCCUGGACCAGCAGGUGCUGGAGCUGUUUUGCGGACAAGUGAUGGAACUUUGGUAACCAAAUUCUUCCCUGUAUCUCAAUAGCAUCUUUGUGUUACUCACAUUCCCUGUUUCUAAACUCUUAGUUUCGCGUAGAUUUGCAAGUUGCAAGAAGGAUUAGGCCGCAAGACUAACAACGUUGCUGAGUAUAAGGCAGUUCUUCUUGGCCUGAGAUAUGCUCUCCAAAGGGGAUAUAGAAAAAUACGCAUACAAGGUGACUCCAAGCUCGUGUGUUCACAGGUUAGUUCAUCCUUUCGCUGUUUUCUUUACUUGUUACAUGUAUAACACGUACAAACACCAUAUCUCAGAAAUUUUCGACGUUACAGGUUGAUGGUACGUGGAAAGUCAAACACCAAGGCAUGGCCGAGCUAUGCGAUCAGGUCAAAGAGCUAAAGGGAAGAUUCGUUAACUUCGAGAUUAAGCACGUUCUAAGGGUAAGUCGUUUAGCAUGAUCAUUGAUCAGCAGUUCAACGCCUUCUCAUACUUAAAGGGUUUACGACGGGCUUUUCUGCGCAGGAAUUCAACUCUGAAGCUGAUGUGCAGGCAAACCUUGCUGUCGAACUUCAAGGUGACCGAACCCGGUCUAGAGCAAUCAAUGGCAUUCAGGUUUAACUAUCGGCUCUAACGUUUCCUGUGUUUCUUGUUUCAGAAGGCGCAGUACAAGAGGUUUACGAAUAGUAUGUCUUCCACACGGCCAUGAUUUUUCAUUUUUUACUGAGGAUUGAUAGUGGAAAGAGCAGUAAUACUAAAUCUUGUGAUGGAGAUUGAUGUGUCCAAAGGCCAAGGUACUGAUUCCGAUUCCCAGAUUGUCUGUCAGCUGUUGUCCAAAUGGGGGCUGAGAGCUAUAAUACGUUACAUGUGUCUACUAUAGCUUAAUUUAGUUGAACCUAUAUAUACAAUUAAACUGUCAAAUUGGACGGUUAGGAUGCUGUUGUAGCCAUUCUAACCAAUGCAAUUUUGAUAAGUUUGGAUUAGUUAAUUAGUUUAUUUGGGUUGUUCUGGUUAACAGCUUGUGUUCUUUUGGUUUUAAUGGAAAGGAGGGUUUUAUGGCAUCACCGUACCAAUAAUUCGUGUUGUUGGAAGAGGGUUUAUAGUGGUUUUUAUAUCAUUCAUUAAUAUAUCCUUUAAAUGGAAGCUCUCAAAAAAACUUGAGGUUUGCACCACUUCAGUAGGUAAGUGUACAAAUUGAGGCUACCGAGAUUCGUAGUUAAGGCAUCUCGGUCUUUAAAUACUAUGAUACCAUGUCGUGAAUUAUUUCGUUACAAUAAUUCAUUGAUUUGUGUUUUAUUCCUUAACAAAUAUAGUAUAAUUUUGAUUUUGAACUUAAAUCAAUCAUAGUCAGUAGGAAGAUUCUGAAGUCAUUAGUUAGGAGUUAAGAAGGAAAGUGAGUGAGUGAGUGAGUGGAUGGAUGGUUGGCCAAAUGGUCCCCAUUGAGUUUGUCGAAAUUUGGGUUUGUAUAAUAAGCUACAAACAUACCCACAAAAGUAUAACCAGAGUUGUACAAAUGGCCAACUCAACUGGUGCCCUAGCUUUGCUGUAACAGAUUAAACUAAAGAAAACAAAGCCCUUAGUUGCCAAUCCGACACAGCAAGGUCCUGGAUAUGGUCAUAGUAUCCUUUAACUAUUCCACGAAGUAGUUCUGAUCCAUGGUCACAGGUACCAAAGACCGGCUAGACAUCAGACCAACUGAUCAAUGUCGCUAAAACUCUGGCAAACUGUGACGCCUUAGAAACCUUGACAUUGACAAAUCAAUGUAAAAACGGUUACGUCUUAAUAAUUCCAAUUUAGAUCAUAAAUCGACCGAAAAUUCUUUUAUCGCGAAUGACGAAAAGGGUACACUUUAAUUUAGGGGGAAAGGGCUAAUGAACAUAAGAAGUCACACUUGUAAAAAUGUUUUAUCUUCCACUAGUCUAGCUAGGGUCACAAAUCACUCCGUUGAUAAUGUGCACCAUGAUUAACUUAGUUGGAUGAAGAUGCUUCUGCUGUUGGCAAGUAAGUAGGGUCUCUCCUGUGAUAAUUAGUCCCCUAAAUAUAAGAAUCCAGAAUUAUAUUACUAUUACUAUCAUCAUCAUCAUCACAUUGAUCACAGGGUGGCUACACAUGCUAUCAUAAUUUUACCCCUUAUAUUACAAAUUUAAAAGAACAAUCUUUGUGAAAUUCUACACGCCUUUUUAUAUAUUAUAUCACUAAUAUUUCAUGGUUUUAAAUAUUUAUUUAAAUUUAAACAUUGANNNNNNNNNNNNNNNNNNNNNNNNNNNNNNNNNNNNNNNNNNNNNNNNNNNNNNNNNNNNNNNNNNNNNNNNNNNNNNNNNNNNNNNNNNNNNNNNNNNNNNNNNNNNNNNNNNNNNNNNNNNNNNNNNNNNNNNNNNNNNNNNNNNNNNNNNNNNNNNNNNNNNNNNNNNNNNNNNNNNNNNNNNNNNNNNNNNNNNNNNNNNNNNNNNNNNNNNNNNNNNNNNNNNNNNNNNNNNNNNNNNNNNNNNNNNNNNNNNNNNNNNNNNNNNNNNNNNNNNNNNNNNNNNNNNNNNNNNNNNNNNNNNNNNNNNNNNNNNNNNNNNNNNNNNNNNNNNNNNNNNNNNNNNNNNNNNNNNNNNNNNNNNNNNNNNNNNNNNNNNNNNNNNNNNNNNNNNNNNNNNNNNNNNNNNNNNNNNNNNNNNNNNNNNNNNNNNNNNNNNNNNNNNNNNNNNNNNNNNNNNNNNNNNNNNNNNNNNNNNNNNNNNNNNNNNNNNNNNNNNNNNNNNNNNNNNNNNNNNNNNNNNNNNNNNNNNNNNNNNNNNNNNNNNNNNNNNNNNNNNNNNNNNNNNNNNNNNNNNNNNNNNNNNNNNNNNNNNNNNNNNNNNNNNNNNNNNNNNNNNNNNNNNNNNNNNNNNNNNNNNNNNNNNNNNNNNNNNNNNNNNNNNNNNNNNNNNNNNNNNNNNNNNNNNNNNNNNNNNNNNNNNNNNNNNNNNNNNNNNNNNNNNNNNNNNNNNNNNNNNNNNNNNNNNNNNNNNNNNNNNNNNNNNNNNNNNNNNNNNNNNNNNNNNNNNNNNNNNNNNNNNNNNNNNNNNNNNNNNNAAAUUAUAAUGAUCUGUAUCGAAUACUAAACCGAAACAACAUAAUACUAACUCAACUCAAUAUAAUCGUAAAUAUAUACAUAAAUUUACUACUCCAAUCUGCAUAUGUUCUAAAUCAUAUAAAAAGCUUUUAAUUUUGAACCAUAAAUCUAAAUUUUAAAUUGUAUGCACAAAAUUUGAUUAAAAAAGAUGUUUAAAAGAGUAGAAUAUUUAUCCAUAUAAUUGAUUAGAUAGUCUACUCAUCAAUUUGUAACGGUGUAGAUAAUAAAACCAUAAUAUAUAUAAAUUCUAUCUAAAAAAAGAUAAAGAUAAAAUUAACUAACUCGAAAUUUCAAUAUACAAUUCGAAAAACAUGACCCUAUUCAAUUGAUCAAAAUUUCCAUAUAAACAAAAAUAAAAAACCAUACUAUAAAACUUGGGUCUCUCCCAAUUCCCAAACCCCAAACCAUUAUUUCCCUCUGAAUCAUAACACCAUGGGAGGCUGCGCCACCAAGCCAAAAGUCACCAAAGACGACAAACUUCCGGCGCCGGCGCCUGAGCCCAAGCCAGCCACCACCGUCACGACGUCACCGCCGGUAACUGAUCCAGCUACCACCUCAACAACAACACCUGCGCCGGAGGAGCCUAAGAAAGCAGAGGAGAUUAUAGCUGCUCCUUCAACCGCCGUGGAGGUGGUGGAGAAGGAAAUCGUGGUCGUUGGCGGCGGCGGAGAAGGAGAGAUCGUCGACGAUGAGGCCGCCGCCAAGCGUCGCUCUCUCAGCAAUCUGUUCAAAGAGGUAAAGUAAUUAAAACCCACCAAAACAAAUCAAAAAAAAAAAUCACUCUCGUUUGAUGUUUUCCUUAAUUAGAAGAUCUUCUAAUUCGUCAGAAUCAGGGUAGGCUCGACUCGAUAAAUUCGUCAAUUUUAAUAGCUUCACAAGCUAGCUCAAGAUAGCUCAAAUUUUAGGAUUAGUCAGAGGUUGAAUCUUAUUAGGAAUUUUUAGCUUAUAAAGAAUUAUGUUAGCAAGUUAAAUUCGAGGUUGGUUCGUUAAUAAUCAUUAAUCAUGUACAUAAGCCGAAUUAAGGUAGACUUCAUCUAAUAGAUUUGACGACUUUAAUAGCUUGAUUAGUUAGCUCAAAUUUGAGUUUGGCUCGUCAAUAAUUGUUAUGGUAUUUGAUUCAACAAGUUAUUUUCGGUGGAGAUUUUUGGGGAAAAAAUAUUUGAUUUACUGACGGUUAAACCGGCUUAAUUAGCGGACGCGGGUUGUCUUUUAUUGGGUAUGAUAAUUAUCAUUAAUAAUGUUUUAAUCUCUCCCUUGCAGUAAUUAAUUAUUACGAGAUAAAAAAACGGUACUGAAAUAGGAAUAAAAUAAUUCUAGAAGUUGGAUGAAAUUUAAUAAAUAUAUACAGGCUGUCUGCCAACUUGGCAUAUGUCUUUCUGCUUGUCCUAAUGAGUAGGUUUUAUAAGGACCACUUGUCCACCAAAUUAACUUACGUAGCAAUUUGUAGUAAUUAAUAUGUACGAAUAUGUAAUACAAAAUAAUGUGUUUUAUAUGUUUGAACUUGCAUGAGUGCCCAUCUGAUUAACAAUGUUUUCCGAUCAACUACUUAUACCAUAUUUUGCCAUGAUUUGUACUUUAAAUUACGAACGAUUGGUAUCUUGCGCUAGCGACAUUAUAGGUGUGAUUUUCGUUACAAUAAGCUCGGUCUAGGAACGGUCUUUUUUAAGGGUCGAUGUUAUGUGACCCAUCUAGCGAGUAACGAUCCACUAGUUCUAGAUGUACAAUUUUCUUAUAAUGUGUCAUAUCAAUUUUAACUCGACUGAGGGUCUUGUUUAUUGUUUAAUGCAUGCAAGUGUCGAAAUCAAUUUCUUUUUCUGAGGUGACUAGUUAGUACUUUGACAAGUUUGGCAUAAAAACAUGUUAUUUUCUUCAUAUGAAGCCAAGGUGGUUGACAAGGACCUCACAUAGAACUCUUAACCCUACAAUCUCCAUUGCCCUCGUUUUUCUUCUUGGUAGUUAUUGUAUGAUUUUAAAUGCAUGAGGUUAGUAGUAUUCAAUCUCCAUCAUAUAAUUUAUUCUCCAACCAACAUAUUACAUUACAUCCGAUCAAACGGACAGGUUGGGCGGGUUACAAAUAUAUAUAAUUACUCAAGUUAUUAGAUACUCGUUUAUAGAAUUACAUGUCAAAUCAGAAACUAUUCGGGUUGUGGCUAUUGAGUUUUGUAUGUUGUUGUUAGACGAGUUAUGGGUUGUUGAAUGGUCUCAUAACUCGUCUAACAGCAAACUAACAAAUCGAGUUGGAUCGGGUUGGGAUUGAACUGAGUUGGUCAGUUUUUGACAACUAAAUUCUAGUUAAAAACCUAUCAGGUUGAUGUUGAACGAUUAAAACUUUUGAAACCGUUCAAACCAUUCAUUUUCAUUUACGGAUAUGAACCACGAGUUAAACAAUCGAAAAGUUUGGAUGACUAUGUAGAGUUUCUAUGCUUAUACAUAUGGUACUAAUAAUCUAAAUAUCUUAUCUUUGUACAUCACUAUUAGUAAAUAUAACCAGUUAUUUGAACAGAUGAUCAUACGGAAUUCGGCAGUAUAGUAAAGAUGUGUAGUUCCAUAUUAAAAUAUGCGUGUGAUUUUCUUUUGCUUUUCUGCCGAGAGAACGAAAUUUAAUUGUUCAUGUAAUCAUCUUAUUUGUAGGUUCCUGCCGCUGGAUUGAACACUGAGUUAUUAAUUGAGUUGUCCAAAACAAAACAAUUCGACCCUAAUUAAACCUAUAUGAGAACAUUGAACUUCUUGUUAUAGGAGAGUUGAGUUUGACCUUUGCACUAUGUAAUUGGAAACAGAGUGGUGAAGGAAAGGAGACCGUUGUAGAAGAAGAGAAGGAAAAGCCGGCGGAUGUGAAAACAGAGGCGGCGGAGGAGAAAACAACACCACCGGCGGCACCAACAGAGGAUACAAAAACAGAGGCGGAAGAGAAAACAACACCACCGGCAGCAGCAGCAGCAGAAGCAGAGGAUGUAAAAACAGAAGCGGAGGAGAAAAUAACCCCACCACUAGCAGCAGAAGCAGAGGAUAUAAAAACAGAGGCGGCAGAGGAGAAAAUAACACCACCGGCAGCAAAGACAGAGGAGGCCGUAAAAGCAGAGCACACAGAUAACAAGGAGUUGCCGACAGAGGGAGAAGCAGAGCCGAAAGAGAUUAACGUCGUUGAGGUUGACGGCAAAGAAGAAGAAGUUUCAGUAGCGGAGAAAAUAACACCACCGGCGUCAGCAAAGACGGAGGAUGCCGUAAAAGCAGAGGCUGAAGAUGAUAAAAAGGAGUCACAGACAGAGGGAGAAGCAGAGCCCAAAGAGAUUAACGUAGUCGUCAAAGUUGACGGCGAAGAAGAAGUUAAACAAAAAGAAGAAGUUUCAGUAGUGGCGGAAACAGAGUCGCCAGCUGUUACACCAUUGCCGGAGAAGGAGGAGGCAUCGAUUAUUAGUACUGUUGACGUUGAUGAUCAGAAGCCAGUUGCUGCGGCUGUGGAGCCGGUGAAGGCGGCGGAGGAGGUUGAAGCGCCGCCGGCGGAAGUGGUUAAAGAGACUGUUUCUGUAAGUUGAUUUUACUAGUGUUUUGAUUGGGAAGAAGAAGAACAAGUCUCACAUUUGAUUUCAUUUUUUUGUUGGUAUUUUUUUUGCCUUAUUUUGGGUNNNNNNNNNNNNNNNNNNNNNNNNNNNNNNGUGGGGGGGGGGUGGGUUGUGGAAUGUUGAUUGUGUUAUUUGAUUGGUAAUAUAUCACACUGUUUAUGGUAAAAAUGUUGCGGAUAUUCGAGCCAAUUUGAUUCGAUCAAAGAGAAUAAUAAUCUUAAUGAAUGUGUAUUAUGAGACGGAUACAGGAAAUAUUUGAAAAAAAUAAAAAUUUGAGAUGGUUCGAAAAUAGGUUUAAACUAAAUACCCGCCUCAUACCCAUAUUAAUAAUUUUAAUCUAUGUGCGUAAAUAUUUCAACAUAGCGUGGUGUUUACUAGUCAGUGUUGUGCUACUCAACCUUCUAGCUUUCAACAGGCACAUAACGGUAAUUUAAUCGUUUAAUGAUUGUUGAACAUCGCGUCACGUAACAGUUAGACUUUCGAAUCUUGUGCAAUAUUGUGCCUUUUGUAUAAGAAAUUUCCGUUGAAUUUUGUCUAAAUACGUCAUUUCGAAUUAAAUUUCAACUGCUACUAUUAGUAACAAACUCAUUUGAUCUAUAUCAAAACCAUUAUCCACUAAAACUGAAUGCAAAAAGUACAUUUAGACUGGGAUUUUCUUUCAUAAAUUAAGAUGUUAAUCAGUUGUCAUAAUUUCUUUGAGCUCUGAUUCUGCAGCCACCUUCGGGAUCUUCUGAAUCUCAUCAUCGUCAUCAUGAUGGAUCAUCUUCUCUUCUCUGCCUUUUGCCCACAAAACACUGUAAAGCCCUCCAACCAACAGCGCUCCACCCAGAAUACUACACUCAUCCACAACACACAAACAUACAAGUCGAUUUGAGUUACGGAUCGAACUGAAUAGGGCCGCAAUUGAACUGAAUCGAGUCGGUUUUACCUUCCGAGGGUGAUGAAGUCGCAUAGAAGUGCGGAACAGACCAUAGUGAAUAUGAGAGCCAGAGGAGUGGACAUGGCCAAGAAGACUGGCCCUUUCUUCUCAAGCACCCAAGCAUGCAAGUAAUACGUUACUCCUGUCACAACUAUCCCCUGCAUGCACACAAAUGGUUCGAGUUAAAGGCCGAUAUAGUGAAGUUUACGUUCGAGAGACCCCACUUGACCGAAUGUGACUCUGCGAGUUUGCAUAUGAUCUUACGCAGUAGGCCACUGCGACGAGUCUGGUGUUCCACCCGAGCUUCCACUCGUCAGGAUUCCUCUCAACAGCAAUAGCAACCACAAAGGACUGAAUUGCGCUUAGAAAGCAUUGUAGGGCUGUGAACAUCAGCUUUGAUGGGUAGCUUUUCAGAAGUAUUGCCUGCAUCAAUCAAACAAAUUAAAGAAAGCAGAAAGAGAAUUCAUUAAUGAAAUAAGUCCACCGGAACAGAACUAUUACAUUUCAAUAACUCGAUUCGUUAUAAAAAGUGUCUUAAACACCGUUAAAGAGGUGUUACAGACCGAGACCUAGCAAUCACCCCUACAUUCACUUCCAUGACUAACUGAAUCUUAACCGAUUUUACCGACUCCCUAACUCACCCAAUAAGCUAUCAAACCAGCCAUUAAAACAUUACAUAUGUGAUUGGUUAUUUUUUAAAAUGGUAAAACCGAGACAACCGAACUUUCGGUCAAUUAAAUCAGUUACAAUUCAACCGGUCAGUUAAAUCCUCGUUAACCAACCAAGUGACCAACUAUGGUUGAUCUUUAACCGAUCCAACCAACUCCCACUCCUAUCAAAGAUUCUAAUUCUCCCCCCAAAAAAUCUAUUUUGAUAAAUACUUCUCCAACCCGAAAUCAUGACUUUCUCGACAAAAUAGUGUCUUCCAUCUCAUAUCCCACCUGCCGAACUAACUAAAUAUCAUUAUAUAUGUCCGUUAACGGUACAUAAUUGAUCGACCAACUAUGGUCAUCCUUUUUACCGAUCCGACCAACUCUCUCCCCUCCGAGAGUUCCUCAUUUCCUAAAAAAAAGUACUUCCGCAAAAUACUCCUCCAACUAGGAAUCUUAACUUCUCCGUAAUCGCCAAAACAAUAAAAUCCAUUCUCUCUUCGGCUAGUAUUCUUCUAUAUACCAAAUACCAAAUAAAGUAAUUUAACAUUCUUUAAAUCGAUUCAACAAAACAGAUACACGUAUGACAUAACUAAAAAAUGUACGACGAAACGUGACAAAUGUGUGUUUGGUUACCUGAAAGACGAGCCAAAAGCCCCAAGUGAUGUGGGAGAAGAGCAUCAAGAAGCAGCCUUUGAUCCAUGUGUUAUGCUGAGGAGGAGUACUAGUAGUGGGGAUUUGGGCAUGGUGAAGAUGUCUAAAGAGGCAAAGGUGGAGGUUGAAAUGUGGGCCUUUGUAGAAAGCAAGAAGUGCUACUCCACCCAUGCAUAUCCCAAUCCCUACCAGCUUUGCUAUCCCUGUUCUAGUCCUCACCUUUAGUGUCUCCAUUCUACCAUCAUCAUACUAACAAACUUAGCUAACUUAUAACUAGCAUGCACAAUCAUCAUCAUCAUCAUCAUAUGUUAAUGGAAAGAACACACUCUAAGUUGACAAGAAUAAACCAACUCCUAAUCUCAAAAUUGGUUCCCAUUUACUAGAUAUCUAAUUGGUUGGAGUAAAAAUAGAUUGCAAAGAGUUUAUUACAUGCUAGGUAGCAUGCAUGGUAACAUCUAGGAUAUCUUCAUUGUGUAUGGACAAGGACAACCACAAAUGAGGAAGAAAGACACAUCUUUAUGAGGAAAGUGGCUUUCUUGAUUAUAAGUUUGAUGGAUUCCAGGAAAAAGUUAUUGUUAAGAAUUGUUGCAUUCUAAAAUUAAUCAUUAAUUCGUCUUUUAAUUAAAAGCUCUCAUAACAGUUGAGGUUUACGCAACUGGUAAGUUACCUGCAUAGUAAAGCCAAGAAGAAAGUAAUGACCGGAAGAGAGUUGACGCUGGCUGCGGCCAAAGUUGCUGACGUGUAAGUCAAAGCUAGGCCAUUUAUGUUUAAGGUCAACGUAAUCCUGCCCAAUCAGAAAAAAAGGAUAAAUAUCAAAUAUGUGACAUUGACAAGAAUGUUACACCAUCAAAUUGGACCGAAUUCGGUUAAUCACCGUGCUAUGUAAUUCGGUCGGAAUUAGUGACUAUGAUUGUGAGUGAAUUGAAUUCGAAAAACCUUAAAAAAAUCGGCAAGAAUCAGUCAAAUCAGAUCGAUUUUACAAUUUGGAGCUUUGACGAAUAAAAAGGAAAAAUGGUACUUUGCCAAGCUAACAAACGAAAAACUCUUUACUAUAAAAUGUUAUAUUUACCACCUCUUAUAAUACCAACUUAACAAAUAGGCCAUUCCGUUACUCUACCGUUAAAAUGUGUUAGCGAGUGAUAACAGCUGGGUUUCGGAGACAACACAAAUUCGUCUACUUGAUUUUUUAGUAUGUAAACACUGAAGAAAAUAAAACCACGAGCCAUCGAUCCACGUGAUUGUGUAAGCUUAUGUGGCAGAAUAAAUGGAUAUAUUUUAACGGCAAACUGACUGAAAUGGUAACUGAAGGAUUUCUUUAUCAAGUUGGUAAAGUAAAACUAAAAGAGGGUAAAUUUGAACAUUUCAUAGUGUAAGGUCUCGGUGACGGAAAAAUGGUAAUUAUGGCCAAUGGUGCGUUUGGUAAUUAAAAAAAAGAGUAGAUAAGACUUAUUUGUUAUAUUUUAACGGUGAAGAUACUAAAAUGCAUAUUAUCCAAAAACAUACCCGAAGAGAGAUAGGAGGAAAAUUUUGCAAAAAGUCAGCAGCGACAUCGGCGGCGCGUGCUUCCUGGUUCCCGCCGGCCGGAAUAUAGUAAUAACAAUAAAUUAGAUCAUGGAUGUAAAGUUAAGGACGUCGUAGAGGUAAUAAUGAAACCAAUUGAUGGCUACGUAUAUAUACCACUCGAAUGCAAGAGCAAGAGGGACGAGGACGGCGGCGGCGAAGGUUUGACGGUAGAAGACGAAGAUGGAAGUUUUGAAGCCACCGUCGAAGGCCACCUUAGAGAGCAGAAACAUUCCGGCGUAGAGUAACUGUAUCAAUAUCACAGCUCCACGCGCCUUCUUGCCGUUGGACGGCGUCGUUUUGGUCUCUCCCCCUCCUUCCAUGCUACUUACUAUACUUGCAGUUUAGCUCGAGUUAUCAGUUAUGAAAGUGGUGUUGGUCUAAUUUAUACAUUAAUGACGAGGAUGGAGAAAACCCAAAGUGUACUUUCUUUUCUAAAGAGAAAAAGAAUUUAAAUUAAACUCGUGUCAUUGGGAUACAAAGUUUAUUCUUUAAUUUAAAGUUGAUGUAUCUGUUGAGCCGCUCGCGACUAUGUCAUAAUAAAUUUGAACAGUAUUUUCGACUAUGUCAUGACGUACAAAUCUCGUUUUUGGUCUGGUCUCCAUCUAUUCAAUACGUUGCGAUCUACAUACGCGAAUUAACGUUAGAACGAAAAUGUACGAAUACAGUUAUGUUGUAUAGGCGUUUCAAUACAUCGGUUUAACCAAAACCGAGCCGAUUCACACCCCAUAAAUUUAUGGGCAUCCCACCAAUAUCUUAGCUCCCAAAAUGUGUCCUCCCACUUGUAAAUUAUAGUUUGCCAGAUGAUGCUCUGCAUGGCUAGACAAUUGUGGCAGCCAACUAUGUGACACUUUGCAUGUACGAGUGUGCAUGAGUCUUGAAUACACCACCUCUUUAAUUAAUGUCAACAUAGUUUGACCCCCAGCUACGUGGUUGUUAUUAGUGAAACGAAAGAGGGCUGUGCCGACUUCACAAAUAUAAAUAAAUGAGCUUUUUAAUGGGAGUCUGCAGAGUUCGGCCACCAUUAUUGCUCUUUGUCGUAAAUGGAUGUUUUAGUUAGACUUUAGCUUUACGUGGUUAGUAUAAGAAGAGAUAGGAAAUAUAUCGUUCGUGAGCAUAUUUUGUCAUUUUUAAACAUUUUUUAACUCGAAUAUAUAUACGGUCCUAAAUAAAUAUAUGUAUUUUGAUGAUUAAUAUUACGAACAUAACUUGGAAAAAAGAGGAUGUAGAAAGCUGAAAAUGACCAUACAUUAGAGCAAUGUAACAACGACAACAUGGUUGGAUGACAAGAUGGUCACGGAUAUUAUGAAUGAAACGCCGUAUAAGCCACUAAUAAUGUUCACAUUUGCUUUUUUUUAUCUCUUAGCUUCCUUAGUUCAACCCCAAAAUCUGUUCCAAUCAUUGAGCUUUUUCGAAUUUAUAGCAUGUUAAUCAUUAGGAGUUUAGGAGUCCUUCUUGGGUUUUGGACGGUUUGUAUUAGCAUAUAAUUUAGGUGUGUGGGUCCAAAAUUUUGAAAAGAUUAUUCGCAUUGUUAUGUGACAGAAUGCGGUUGGUGACUUCUUCUCGACAAAAUUCUGACAGUUGAGGAUGAAGAAAGACAUAAUGAAGGUAAGCCUUGUGAUUGCUAGGUAAAUCGGUUGGAUGCCAUCUUAGGGGUUUUUAAAAACGAAGAAUCCCUUAAACGGGGCAUCACAUUUAAUAAUGUUGCUGUUAAAUUUUUUUGGAGUUGACGGUCAUCAGCCCUGUUAUUAGAUCGGAAAUGUUAUUAUAUAGGUUGAAAUAAUUACAGAUUUUAAUAUUUGAACCUAAAAUUUCCGAGAAUAAAGAUAAGGGCUAAAAUAACUAAAUUAUAACCUAUUUGACAUUCCAAAUAAUCAUUCAAACUCGAAACUACAACCUACUUGGUUCAGGGCAAGAUGCUAACCGAUCACACGAAAGAGUAGUACAAAAGUCAAAAGCCUUACGGCUAGUCCACACGUCCAAUUCUCUGCCCCACGGUCCCAAAAGGAAGGAAAAUGAAACCUUUGAUGCUACCCAAAGUAAAAGAAAUCAAAGUCUUUGAAUAUUAUUUGCAAUCAAGUAUUAAUAAUGUGGACGUGAGUGAAUUCUUUUUAUGUUUUUUGAAGAAAAUGUAGCCUUUAUUAAUGCAACAGUAAAGGAAGCAUUACAACGAUGGUCGGUAAUUUAUGAUAUUUGAUUUGUCGUGUUUAUCAUUCUUAUUUAAUUGAUAUUUCAUACAUAUUUGUAUAGUUUUUGAUAGAAUUUUAGGAUGUUUCGUAUAUUUCUAAUAUUUAUCUCGAUUUAGUGUUUUGGAUCCGUUCGGGGUCCUUUUGAUGUCGUUAUGGAGUGUUUUUUAUAGAUUUCAUGUGCAUAACAACAUCGCGACAUUAAUCAGAGUGAUACAGUGUGUGUGGAUGGUUUAGGACAAGCAAUGAGAAGCAUUUUGACAUCUUCAAGGAGCAUGGAUCUCAACUUGCUCUGAAAACAGCGCAGUUUCGUAUUUUGGACAUAUCUCCUACCUCAGAAGUCCGAUUGAUGCAAGACCGGCGAUGUUGGAAAGCUCGUUCAAUUUCCUACAACUAUGGUCAUGGAGUUAUGUCAGUAUUGGCGCUAUGGACCUGUCAAACUUGGUGCUAUGUACAUAGCGCCAACUUUGACCAUUCAUAGCGCCAAUGUUGACACCCCAUUCUGGAAAUUUCGUAAAUAUUGGCUCUAUAGACCUGUCAAAGUUGGCACUAUGACAUAAACCUAUAGCGCCAGUAUUGACAUUCCACAAUUGAAAUGAUUUUUUGGGACUCCUAUUUAAAGUCCGGUUCCUCCUCAUUAGAAGACACACCCGAGGGGACGAAAAUUAGAGAAAAUUUCAGAGACUUCGGAGCGACGAAAAGGCAUUGACUUCAAGGAUCUCAGAUCGAAAGACAUAAUCAAGAUUGAUGGAUCGAUUUCUUUGACGGUUCUCGGCAAAGUUAGAUUUUUCGGAUUUCUUCUUAUAAACCUAAUUCUAAUGUUUUCCUUUGUUGAUUUUGAUUUGUUCUUCAUGAUUAUGAGUAGCUAAACUCCUCGUGUUUAGAUUAGAUGAACCAUAGGUAAUUUCUUAUGAAUGGAUGAUUGUUUGACUUUGACGAUUCAUGCGAGUUGGAUGGAAUUUCGUUUAUGUUUAAUUUCAUUUCCGUUCUUAUUCUUGCUUGGCCCUCUUUAAUAGAACUUUGUUAGAUUUGUCUUUGUCUCGAAAGAGCUUGCAUAUCUAGAACACCAAAAUUAAUCAACUAGGUUAGGCGUUAACCCUCAUUCGGGAGCAAAUAAACUAGUCCGUCGUGUUAGUAAUUCUCGUUUGUUUUGUCGUCUAGCGGAAUCUAGAUCUUUGUAUCGAAAUAGCGGACUGGGAUAGUAGAUAGGUAGCAGAUUAGCAUACCUGAAAGGGCGUGAUUUUAUUAGAUAAGAAUUGUGGUGGUGAAUUGAAUCUGUCUUGUUUGUUUAAAUUGUGAAAUUUUUCUGUCAUUGGUGAAUUUGGAGAGGCUAGGGGGACUCAAAGUCUAAGCAGUUUUCUCCCAUUUGAUUCAAACCUUAUAUCGUGUAGUCUUGCAGUAUUGUGUUACUUUUCCUGAAUAAUUAAUAGUUUUAGAAAUCGUGGAACCUAUAACACAAAAUCUUUUUAAUCAAUUAGCACUUUUCAUAACUUUAAGUAGUUACAACAGUGAGACCUUAGCGAGAUUUGACGCCGGUUAAUUCAUUAGCCGGAUUAUUUUGAUAACGUCUAAAAACGUACAUCAAUAACCUGCGAGGUGCAACCCGCAAAGCAGAUUACAAAGUGAGAAAAAAUCAACCCAAACAUUGAUCAACUUCGCAGCCGAACGCUCUUCAAUACCAUGACAAAUGUCAAGUGCUCGAGAGAUAGGAGUAUAGAAUUUAAACUAAGGAAUACUUCUACUAUGUUACUUAGACUCAAUCUUACCAUGAAGAAAAAUCUAGGACUUAGAAACUAAAAAAUUAAGAGACCAAAAAACAGUCCAACGUACUGAAUGAAAGGACUCGAACGUACUAAAAACAAGAGAAUUGCAAAGCUGAAAAGGCUGUAGCAAGCUGGGUGACCCAGCAAUGGGGGACGAUCUGUUGUCGGAGCUGGUCGGGGCUCCACAACCCCCCACGAAAUUGUUAUGGUGGCGGCGGCAUUGGGGUGAUCUCCUUCAAGAACAUCUCUUUGUCGUUGCUUUCUGCCAGAGAGAGAUAUAGGACGGAUAGAGCUACCAGCUCCGCGGGGGUUGGAUGUUCUGCGGCGUCGGCAAAGGGAGCUUUGGUUAGGGUAAUUUCACUCCGAGAUGACAUGAUACCGGAAGGUUUUUGUGUCAAAUUGUUAUUUCUUGUAGGAAAGCUUGUCAGAACCAAUCAUGGACUCCUUGCAAAAUCCUAGCCGUAACCCUAAUCCUACACAAUUCAUCACCACCGACGUCGGAAACUUCAUCUCACCAUCGACUCCCACCAGCAGUAUGACCCCUAGCCACCUCGAGAACAAUACAACUUCCAUCCCAACCACAAAUCGACCCACAGCCGUAUCCGUCCACGGGAGUGACGCAUCCCGCGUGAUCUCCACACCGGUCGUCGCAGAGAAUCAGAUUUACAAUAAGAAAGCUGGAACUUCCUUGUCGACAGUUUCAGAUCAAGGGAUGAUAUCAUCAUCGCAGCGGAUCGGCCCUCUUGGAACGGUAAAUCAUGCUCACUAAUCCACCAGCUACACGACAAAGUUUGGCCGUCCCAGUCGUGUUUUUCUUCUUGUUUUGGCUGAACUUUGUUUUCUGUUUUCAUUUAUUUUUCGUGUUUUCUGCUAGACAUUACUUUGAAUUAUUUCUCUUGUUCGUGCGAAUGAAUCUUGUCGGAAUGUCUGUUUGUUGGAGAAAAAAGAUUGAGGUGUUUGUUGUUGCAAAGACCCGCGAUCCAUAUUAGUUUCGUUUGUGAGGACUGCACCUCCAAUAAAAACCCGUGUAAACUUCAUGUUGGAUUUGAUUCAUGAAAUAUGAUGUUAUCAAUUUGAUAAAAAAAAACUAUUGCAAAUGUACUUGAUCUUUUUUUAGCCUGGAUCCCUUUGAGUCCUAUGAUGGCGGAGACAAAGUUGGGGGUAAGUCAUGAUGUCUUGGGUCCUCCCUCCCCUAUCAUCCACAAAGUUUGGCUCCCCUUUUUUUUUCAAUUAAGUAUUCGCUAAAAUUUAAGUGAAUAAUUAUAGUAUAACCAUAUAAUUUUAUGGAAAAGAUUUCGAUGCAUAUAUUUAUAUGGUACAUUUUAUUAUAUUUAUACUAUAUAUUAUACUUAAAAUUAAGAGUUUUGAGGUUCUUAUUUAGUGUUUAGCGUUUAGAACAUAGUUGUAAGUGUUUAGAGUCUAAUGACGGACUUUAUGACUGGUUAAUUUAGAUUUAUGGUAAAAAAUUAAAGUUUGGAGUACGAUUAAAAAUAUGGUUUUAUGAUCGAAUGUUUGAUGGUUAGAACUUAGUGUUUAAGGGUUUAACAUUAUUCUUUAGUGUUUAGAGUUGCAUGUGAGGCGUUUAGUAUUUAUUGUUUCGGUUUUAAAUUUUUGAAAUAUAUAUUUUAAUAUUAAAUGUAUCAUAUACACAUAUGUACCGGAAUCUCCACUGCGACCAAUCGAUUAUAAAUCCCAUUUCAUGGGCAAGGGUGUUAUGAUAGCAAUGUCAUUAGUGAUUCGUUUUUAUAUAUGAGGAACACAAUUGUUUAAUUAUAGUUAAACUUAUAGGUUUUCAUUUGUUUUCUUAAUAAACACAUUUUUAAAUAUACGUAGGCUCUUUAAUACGAGGACCACAAUUGUUUUCUUGAUGGUGAUGGCCGGUGGACGGAGGCCACAUAGAGGCCGGCGGUGGCGAAGAUGGAGUUCUCGACCGAGAUGAGCAAUGUGUUUUUCCGAAGAUUGAUUGAUUUUUGUUGAGAUAACAAUUUUAACGAUCAUAUUGAUAAAUUAGAACAGUCUUUCAUUUCAUACGUAAUAUUUCGAAUAAUUAAUUAUAUGCUCGUAAAGUUGUUGGCUCAAAAUUUAGUGUUAGUUUGUUGUUGGGGUACGAAUCUUACCAUACAUGUUCUGUGAUAUCGUGCUAAAAGUCUUUUUAGUGGGUGAAUGCCAGACAUCGUUGGUGUUAAACAUAAUCCAAACAUGGGCGGAUAUAGGAGAGCCGUAGCUUAGGGAAAUUAAAGCCCUGUAAAUUCAAGUAUAUAUAUCUUAGUUUUAUGUUUAAAAAAAUAUAUUGUUGGUUACUCAAUAUAUUAAUUUUGAUUUAAAUUCGGUUUAGUAUAUGUUUCGAUCCUGGAUCAUAAGCCAAUUAAUCGAAUUAUAAAUUACCUGUUAGUAUCGGUUAUCGAUUCAUUCAGUCACAUUCAUUCGAUUACAAUAUGGAAUCCACUGAGUUUUUAAAAAGAAGACCAAUACAAAAUAGAAGACUAAAAAGUGAAUACAACAUUGAUAAAAAUGAAAAAUAAAUACACUCAUUGGUAUCCAUUUCGUGGGGUAUCACCAGACAUGCAGCUCUACCAGCAUAGCUGCUUGGACAUUUGACGAGUAAAUAAUUGAUUUUUAAUCGGUUUGAUUUUUUGUAUGUUAGUAAUCGGUUUGAUUUAUGAAUAGAUGGUUGAGCCCGAUUGGGCAAAACAUCACUUCAUUAGCCCACCUAAGUCAACGAACUAACUUAUACUAAUAUACCAAUAUCAGCCCAGCCCAAACUGAGACUCAACCCAGCCCAAUUCAACUUUCUGUACACGCGCAUCUCAGGGGUUUUCCUAGGGUUUUUGAUUUCCCUCCUCGAGCUCGACCUAACUCUAAUGGCCGUGGAACUCACUCACCUGCAAUACCAUCUCCCACGCCAUUAAACUUGCAAAAAACCAGCAGAACCCGAAACAUCAAAACCCCACGAAAAUCAGCAGCCAUGAUCGCGAAGAAGGCUUUCUCUUCAUCCAAAUCCCUGCCAUCUCCUCCGCCGUCGGUCAUCAUUUCUUACUUCUCCACCUCAUCCGCUCAGUCUCACCAGCAUUUCCAGUCUCGGAGGCAUCAACAGGAGGAGGAAUCCAGGAACGUGAGGAUAUCGGUUUGGUGGGAUUUCGAGAAUUGCCACCCUCCGCCGGGUGCCAAUGCGUUCGGAAUUUCGCAGAUGAUCACCGCCGCCGUUCGUGCCAACGGGAUGAAGGGCCCCAUUCAGAUCACGGCCUUCGGCGACGUGUCCCAGCUUUCAAGGUCUAGCCAGGAAGCGCUUUCUUCUACCGGAAUCAACAUGACUCAUGUUCCCAGUGGUAAAGAACGAAACGUUGUUGUCUAAGCUUCAAUCGCAAGAUUUAGUAGGAAGACAACAAUGUAUGUCAUUUUAGUAUUUAGACUGAUGCUAAGUUCAGUGGAUUUUAUUGCAUCUAAGUGGGGUUCUUAACGAGUAAGACAUUGGUUUAUCAACCAAGCAAUAAUUGCAAAAUGUUAGCAAAAAGUAUGUCUCUUUGUUCACUAUUCAACACAUAAUAGCGGAACUGGGAUGUGCGAAUGAAAGGGUUGAUUGACCAAUAUCUUCUCGCUCUUAGAGCAACGAAACUCUAUGUGAAAUUCUCGAAAUCGAAGUUUUAGACUUUCAAGUUUUAUAUUAGCAUACGUUUAGUUCAUAGGGUCUCUGACUAUCCUAGUUCUUACAACGGCCAAAUGCAGAUUAGAAUUUCAUACUGACUUGGGUAGUUUUAUAAGGUUCUUAGGUUUCAAUACUAAGAAUGAGUCAAACUAGGCAUGCAUUGAAGUUCAAAGUAGGCUAUAGUUGAUUGACCAAGAUCCCCUCGCUCCUAGAGCAACAAAACUCUAUGUGAAACUCUCGAAAUUGAAGUUUUAGACUUUUAAGUAUUAUAUUUGCUUACAUUUAGUUCGUAGGGUCUCUACUAUCCUAGUUCCGCCACCGACCAUAUGUAGGGAAGAAUUUCGUAGAAGUUGGAUUCUAUAUAUAGGUUUAAUAAGGUUCUUAAGUUCCAAUAUUAAGAACGAGUCACACUAGAUUUACAUUUUAGUGGAAAGUUAGGUUAUAGUUCACGUUUUAGAGAAAUUCUGGUAUGAAAUUACAAGUGAAUGUAUGGAUUGUUUGCUGACGUUGUUGCAGGAGGAAAGAACAGUGCAGACAGGUCUCUUCUAGUGGAUCUGAUGUAUUGGGUGUCCCAGAAUCCACCACCUGCACAUCUGUUUCUGAUUUCUGGUGAUAGGGACUUCGCUAGUACGUUACACCGGUUGAGGAUGAACAAUUACAACAUAUUGCUUGCGUCGAUAGAAACCGCUCCUAGCGUUCUCUGCAGUGCUGCCAGUAUCAUGUGGCGUUGGAAUGAAUUAGUGAAGGGAGCGAACUUAACCGGGAAGUAUGUCAAUCAACCUCCUGAUGGUCCUUAUGGUUCCUGGUAUGGCCAGUACAAGUUACCCUUGGAAGACCCCUUUACCGUUGGAGCUGAACCUUCCCCACCAUCACCGAGCCCCGAGGUUGAGCAGAGUAUUGAUUCGGAGACCACGAUACGCGAUAUACCGAAAGCAUUGAAAAAGCAGAUCCGUCAAGUUUUGAGUUUGUACCCUGAAGGGAUGUUGAUAUCGGAGUUUCGUAUGGAGUUGCAGAGAAGGAACAUUGCUAUUGAUAAGAAAUUCUAUGGGCAUAAGAAGUUCUCAUCCUUUCUCUUGGCCAUGCCACAACUUUUCAAGCUGCAGAAGAUUGGAGAUGGUAAGUUCCUUGUACAGCUACUCCAUGCUAAAGAUCUUGAAACACCUGAUCCUCUCUCUUCAACAGCUAUUGAUAUACUGAAUAAUGUGAAUUCACUUCCUUCCAACUCUUCCAAGCUGGAGGAUACCAAUAGUGAAGCUGAGAAUUUGGCAUCCCUGGAGAGAAAAAUUAGCGUGCCUGAAAAAGAAGUGCAAGAACCUGCAAGAGCUGUCAACUGGAAGGAAUCGACUUAUCCUGUUGAUGAAAAAGUCUUACGAAAGUCUAAUGCGUUGGAGACAAAUAAGCAGACGUCUCAAGUGAGGAAGGAAGAACAUGUUAGUGAACAUGUCCCUGAUAAGAAGGAAUCCAUCCGUCCUGUUAGUGAACAGGUAUCAAAGAAGUUGUCUUCUGGUGGUGGGGUUUUUAAUACGAUCCGGAGAAUUUGGUCUGGUAGCUCCAAGAAGGAAACUGAAGACUCUCUAGAAAUUCCUAAUAACAAGCUUGGAGGGGAAGCUGUUAAUAAUAAGAAGCUUGCGUCAUCCUGCUAUGAACCUAAUGUUUAUUCAAGGCUCGGGAGUAAAAGCGACAGAAUAUCAGAAGAAGCAUACAGUGAAAGCUUGACAGAGAACAGUGCCAGCGAAGAUUCGACCCGAAGUCCAGGUUUGCUUAGUAGGAUUAACAAUUGGUGGAAAUCCAGGGGAACUAGUCUCGAAUCCAUAGACAAGCAACCCAACGAAAUCCUCGAUCAGAGAAAUGUUAGUGCUCUAAAUCAUGAGCUCUAUUCUAAGGACUCUUUCUGGAGCGAGAUGGAGCCCUUUAUCAGGACUCAGAAGGGAUCACUCGCUAUAACAAAAUCAAAGUCAAGGUUAGUGGUUUUUUCGUGUUUCUUACAUAAGAUAUUGUAAUAUUGUAUGAGCAACUUGCCAUUAAUACAUCUGUUCCUCUCUUUACGAUUUUAUCAGGGAAGAAAUGGCAACAAACCUGCAAAAGGAGGGGCCUUUCGUGCUUAAAUCCCUCAAGGAAAGUGACCUAAUUCUGUUAGUAGAUAUCCUGAUAUCAGCAAAGAAAUGGGUGGAUGAAUGUCCUUCUGAAGCUUCCCCUUUUAAGGUCACUCUCUCUGUUGAUAAUGCUGCCCCGAAUGAUGAUCCUCGAGGUCGUUCAAAUGGUCUGAGAUCGUCGUUCCUGCAUGAAGCACUGCUACCUCCCAGUGAUCUGAAAUCUAUCGAGCGGUCCAGAGGCGAUAUAUUAAAGGACUGUAGGAAUCUCGCGCAAGAGAUAGUGAAGGAAUUCCCAUAUGGAUAUAGCAUAGGUUUAUUCCAGAAGGAAUUCAUCAACAGGUAUGGGUAUUAUCUUGAUGUUCGGAAGCUUGGCUACCAAAAGGUGGCAUCUUUGUUAGAAAUAAUGCCAGGUGUGAGAGUUGAGUUUACCUACAUUUACCCUAUGGAAUCACUUAAGGCUCCGAAGAAGGACGAUGAAUCAGAUUCCGGAUGGGAUGAACUAGGUCCUCUUGACAGUGGAAGCACAGAAUCAGAACAACCGAGUCCUUCAUACGAGCCUUGCCUUUCGGACGAUUGCCUGACAGAGUCUUCAUCGUCCGACUCUGAGGACGAGAGGCCGGUGAGUAGUACUCAGCCAGAAUCCUGGGUGAAGAAGUGCAAUGCAAGUGAGGAUAAGAGUUCGUUACUAGAGAUUCUUGAUGUAUGCUAUGACAGUAAGAAUGGAGAAUCCGGAAACAAGAAAGUCGACGAGGAUUAUGCUGAUGCAGAUGAGGAGAAGAAGGUUGUUGACUCUCCGAGCAGCAUUCGAGGUAGUGUUAGUUGUGGUAGAAGGGGUGAGAGUCGAAUGGGAUAUGGUAAUCCUGGAGGAAUGCAGAGGCUUGUGAAGUCUUAUUCUUUUGUUGAGGAUCCAGUUGUGGAGGAGCAGCAUAAACUGAUAGAUGGCAUCUUAACCAGCUUAAAGAAAACAAGUGAGACCAGGAUGCAUAGCUGAUGAUUAUAUUGACUAUUGAGUAGUUGGUAAUCAAAAUAAAGGGAAUUCUUGUAGGGUUAGAUGAAAGCAGAUUCUGGGUUAGAUAAUACUUUAGUAGAAUGUGCUUUCAAUUCAUUCUACCAUGGUUUGUUAUGUAACAUAUCAUCUCGGAGUAUGCUAGAAGAUUCAGUUUGUUACGAUGGAAUCCAUCAUCUAUCAUAGCAAGUGGGGUUGAGUCAAGUCAAAAAAUUCGCGAGUAGCUCGGGAAAAGUUUGUUAUGACUCAGUUUUAAAAGUUCGUUCAUGAUUUGACUCGAUUUAAAAUAAGUCAAGUUUGAGUUAGGGUAUACACGAGUCGAUAGGCUUGUUAGCUAGCUCGAGAGGGAGAGAGCUAACUCAUUAGCUUGAGUAUAUAGCUUAUAAGUAUAUUCAACAAUGCAACAUUUGUUUUGCCUCGAAUAUUAUAUAUAAUUUGUGAUUGUUGUAAUGAAAAUUUAAAUAAUACAUUAUUUUCCUUUAAUUAAGAUAAGUAGAAACUUAUAAUUUUUAGGAUAGUUUGUUUUUUUAAUUUAAUUCAUUGAGGGUUUUUAAUAUACAAAUGUAUAGUUUUUAAAUUUAAUUUAAAUUAGACUCAUGGGAUUUUAAUGAUUAGAGAUUUAGUUUAACUUGAGUUUAAUUAUUCAAGAGUAAUUAAUAAGAUAUAUUCAAAUUGGCUCAAGCUUCAUACGAACUAACAUUUUCUAGCUCGCUUAUAAUGUAAUAAGAGCUAUGACACCUUAAGAAUUCCCAUCCAUGGCAGGCAGGCAACAUUUCACAUUUUCAGUUCCUCCGAUUAAAAAACAGCAAUGAUUAACUAAAGCCUUUGGCUUUCCCAAUUCACCAGAGUUCAGUAACGCCAACACCGUUAACUCGCAGUUCAACCAUAUAUAUUUGAUCACACCGAUCAGUCUCCUAAGCUACCAAAUCACCGGGACGAAAAUGGCUGCCUUCGUCAGAAACUUGGUCGUGAUCUCAAUGCUGGCACUACUGACGGCGGUAAACAAGCACAAGGUGGAGCUCACUAAUAGAUCUAAACGAAUCAACUUGUAUUCGGCCCUGCCAUUAGGGCCCUCCCCAACUUUGUAUAUACAUUUUUGGUAAUAAAAUACGGAAGACAUACAUGAUUGGUUAACCAGACUCCUAUAAGAUACAUUUAUGGCGGCGAAGCUAUGCCGGUUCGCCAUCUGUACGGUUCUCCUCCUCGGAUCGCUACUCGUCGUUCAGCCAAAACGGCACCGUUGUCAUCCACAAUAAGAUGAGGGCGUGGGUCAAGAAAGAUCCCACCCUCGCCGCCGCCUUAAUCCGCCUCCACUUCCACGACUGCGCCGUCAGGGGAUGCGACGGCUCGAUACUGCUGAACCACCGCGGCAGCGAGGGGAGGGCGUCGCCGGCGCGCCCCCCCCCCGCGCCGACCGCUCNNNNNNNNNNNNNNNNNNNNNNNNNNNNNNNNNNNNNNNNNNNNNNNNNNNNNNNNNNNNNNNNNNNNNNNNNNNNNNNNNNNNNNNNNNNNNNNNNNNNNNNNNNNNNNNNNNNNNNNNNNNNNNNNNNNNNNNNNNNNNNNAAACCACCGCGGCAGCGAGAGGAGGUCGUCGUCACGCGCCAACCGCACGCUCCGAGGAUUCCAAGUCAUCGACGACAUCAAAUCCAGCCUCGAAUCCGCCUGCCCUAGGACCGUGUCGUGUGCGGACAUCCUCACCGCAGCCUCCAGGGACGCCACCGUCGCACUAGGAGGACCGUUGUGUACCGUCGGUUUCGGUAGGAAGAACGGCUGGAUCUCGCUAGCGCGUGAAGCUGACGCUGUCCCUCAAGGACACGAAAACGUCACCGCAUUGGUCGAUUUCUUCGGAGCCAGAGGGCUGACCGUGCUUGACCUCGUCGUCCUGUCCAGGUCCCACACGAUCGGCCGGAGCGCAUGCGGAUCGGUUAUGGACCGGGUUAGAAAACCCGACCGAAGCAUGGACGGUGGGUGCUUCAGGAACCUGACCCGGGCUUGCAGAUUUGCGGGUCGUUUUUGAACCUGGACGUGAGGACGCCGUUUAAGUUCGACGUGGAGUAUAUGCGAACAUGGGGAAGAGACUGGGCCUGCUGACGACGGACCAGCUGCUGUAUUCCGAUCAGAGAACGGCGCCGUUUAUGUCGACUUUGGCGAGUCAGCCUGGUUUGUUCGAGGGCAGUUCGCAGUGUCGAUGGUGAAGCUUGGGAACGUGGUGGAUGUGAAGAAGGGUGGUGGGGGAGAGAUCCGGUGGAACUGCAAUUACGUGAACUCUUCCGGUCGACGUCACUGAUGACUUUUUUUAACUUUUUUAAUUUGGUUGUCGAGCUUAUCGACCGUUGAUUACCAAGAUGUUUGUUGUAAUCUUUUUAUUGUUUGGCAAUUUGAGGUUUGCUUUGUCCUGUGAAUGUAAAAGCGCAUAAAGACUCCUCACGAAACCGAGUUAAAUCAAAUUUCAUCAUACUUUAACUUGUUAAUUUAUAAUUGAAUUUAAGUUAGAAAAUUUUGAUUUAUGUGGAGUUUGUUCGAGAAUCUGUCUCAUUAGUUAUCAUAUUAUGAAUCAAAUACAAACUCAAUUAAAUUUCGUUUGUUAAAAUCAAUGACGAUAGUUUAAUUUAAGUUAAAUUUGAUGCUGGUACGUUAAAAAACAUGAACAAGUGAAGUUAACAACAAGUUAUCAUAUCAUUUAUAUGUUUUUACGCUUUAUUGUAUAUGGUAUAAUUUGUGGCAAAAUAUGUUUUGCAUUCGAGCUAUAUUAUUGAGUUAGUAGUUGAGUUGGUUUUCGACCCCGAGCUUGAGCCAGCUGAGGAAUCCAUCAAGUUGACCGUACCUUGGCAUAAGUUUAGCUGAUUCAAAAUCGAGCCGAGUCACAAAUGAGUUUUUCCAAACCCGACAUUGAGUUGCUAUCGAGCUGCUUGAUUUGUCAAGCGUAUUAAAUUGGAAUAUAAUAAAAUAAAACAAACCUACAACUCGAUGAACACUCAAUUUGUAAUCUGAUUUUUUCAAUCCGUUCAGGACCCGGUUAACCAAUCCAAUAUAAAAUACUAAUCACAAUGGGUAUGAAAACGUAAUAAUCUAGGCGGAAAACGACAGAGCGUAAGGAAGAAGGCGCUAAUAUAUUUAUCAGUUACUUAAUUAUGACGGUAUAACGUUUACCCACCGACUUACGCUUCCUAUAUAAGACUAUCCCGAACUCAGAACAAGAUAUUAGGAAAUGAAUCAACAAAUUUAAAAACCCGAUCGAGAAAAAGAAAACGCUAUGGCGAUCAACGGAUUAUUCUUGGAAGAUUCUGGACCAGAAACCAAAUCAACACCUGAUCACAGUCGACGACGGAGCCGAUCUCCUCCUCCUCCGGCGCUAUUGGUGUUCUCCCGAUCGGAGAUCGAGGCGGCGGAGCAGUUGAUGGAGCUCAGCAACAGUACGAGUGGCGGCGUCAUGAUCGAUCGCGAGGAGAUCAGUACCUCUGCUUGCAGCAUCAACAAUAACAUGAGUAAGUCGUCGUCGUCGACAGAGAACAAGGCGGAAGAAGAGGAAGAGGGGGAGAUGCUUAGCCGGCGAAGGCACAAGAGGCGGCGGAGGUCGCUGGAUAGUAUUUAUAAAGCGACCCUUCCGAUUAGUGUAUCUUAAUUGAUUUUUCUUCUUCUUCUUCUUCUUCUUCUUCUUCUUGCGCUUGAAUUAUGAUGUAAAUUACUAAAUUGAAACAGAGUAUAGAUAGCUGAGAAUUCUGAUAUCGUGAUUUCAUCCAGAAAAAAUAGCAUGAAUACCAAAUUGCUUGGAACCUUAAGCUACCGCAAACUCAAUCUUCAACCUGACUCAUCAGCUGCAAUCUCAUGUAUUGUUGGAACCAACGGGGGUGGUCUUCAUCAUCAUCGUUCUUGUACUCAGGAAGAUGAUAAUUAGAGUGUGCAUAUAUCACAUAUUUUCAGAGUGAUAAAACCGUGUUGCAAAAAAAGAUAAACUUACUCCUUCCAUAGAUGAAUUAUGUUUAUUUCCGCCAUGGCUCCAGAUUCGAGACUUCUAAGCAAACAAUAUCAAAAACAGAAAAAUUCAGGCAACGCCCAAGAGAUAGAAAGAUACCAAAAUUCAGCAGUUACACUCGAUAAAGUUCAUUGAGAUAGUAAGUAAGAUAUAAGUUAAUAGAUAAAUCCUUUUGCCAACCAAAACUCUAGAUCUCAGCCAAAACGCCACCAUCCAAAACCCUAGCAUCUCGAAUUAAAGAAGAACUAGCGAAAAAAUUGAAAUCGAAGAGAAAGAAAGACAUUGAUCAAUCGUUUGUUUAUCUUGAAAUCGGCUAGCUAACAAGAGAACCCUGAGCAUUGAAUCGAACAAUUGAAACUGUGAGAUUU